rnacentral:rRNA from 1 species
CUACGGGGGGCACCAGUGGGGAAUAUUGCACAAUGGGGGGAACCCUGAUGCAGCAACGCCGCGUGGAGGAUGACGCAUUUCGGUGUGUAAACUCCUUUUAUAUGUCAAGAAAAUGACGGUAGCAUAUGAAUAAGCACCGGCUAACUCCGUGCCAGCAGCCGCGGUAAUACGGAGGGUGCAAGCGUUACUCGGAAUCACUGGGCGUAAAGGACGCGUAGGCGGGCUUGUAAGUCAGGUGUGAAAUCCUACAGCUUAACUGUAGAACUGCACUUGAAACUACGAGCCUAGAGUAUGGGAGGGGCAGAUGGAAUUAGUGGUGUAGGGGUAAAAUCCGUAGAUAUCACUAGGAAUACCUAAAGCGAAGGCGAUCUGCUGGAACAUAACUGACGCUAAGGCGUGAAGGCGUGGGGAGCAAACAGGAUUAGAUACCCCCGUAGUC